rnacentral:rRNA from 1 species
CUGGAUUAGCCCUUAAGCACUCGGUGAAGUAGGUGAACAAGCUGGAAAGCUUGGCGAUACAGGGUGAUAGCCCCGUAACCGACGCUUCAUCGAGCGUGAAAUCGAGUAGGGCGGGACACGUGAUAUCCUGUCUGAAUAUGGGGGGACCAUCCUCCAAGGCUAAAUACUCCUGACUGACCGAUAGUGAACCAGUACCGUGAGGGAAAGGCGAAAAGAACCCCUGUGAGGGGAGUGAAAUAGAACCUGAAACCGUGUACGUACAAGCAGUAGGAGCACCUUCGUGGUGUGACUGCGUACCUUUUGUAUAAUGGGUCAGCGACUU